rnacentral:lncRNA from 1 species
AAGCCAAACUAUUUGAGAAACCAUCGCUCCAUCACUUAACGGCUAAAUGACAAUCUACGAUUUUUCUAAAAAUGUCGUGUGACUAUUAAGAGAAUAAUUAUCGUAUAGCCCACAACCAGAAAUCGUAUGAUAAAUUCUUCAUAACGAAACUCAGUCCUAACAACCAAACGGUUAACGGAAAACCAAAAUUUGUCGACAAUCGACCAAGUUCGAUACAUUCCACAAUUCACUUUAAGCCUGCUAUGUUUUACCCAUAAUACGCGGCAUGUAAGGAAAAAUUUGUAACAAAGCUUCUAGAGCUAUACGAAACAUCCUCAAAAAUGCACGAAAUAGAUCUCGGAAAGCCAACACUUCACAAAGCACUACGAAGGAAAACGCUUCUUCCCAUGGUCAAAUUUACGCAACCCCUCAAUCCUAAUUUCUCGAUCGCAAAUCAAAUUAUUAGCAUCCAAACAGGAAAAACAAUUUUGGCUGCGAACAUCCGUAGACAAACCAGAAUG